CCCUUAGAUGUUCUGGGCGGCCCGCGCACUACAAUGGCGUGUGUAGCGAGUGCCGAAGUAGAGUUUUCCGAGGUAUUCUUGCAAUGCUCGUUUUGAUGGGGAUAGACCCUUGCAACUGUUGGUUUUGAACGAGGAAUUCCUUGUAAGCAUGGUUUAUCAUCCGACGCUGAAUGCGUCCCUGCCCUUUGUACACACCGCCCGUCGCUCCUACCGAUGAGUCGUCCGGUGAAGUUCGUAGACCUCGUGAUCGCGGAUCACUGGGGGAAGCAAAAUGAACCUCGCGGUUUAGAGGAAGGAGAAGUCGUAACA
rnacentral:rRNA from 1 species